GCCAGCCUCAGAGACACACCCUUCUAGGAGACAUCCGUCCCAAGGUGGCAGAGACACCAAGUCCUGGCCCAGACCUAAGCAACCAGAUAAGUAAAACUGUGAUUCAAGGAGGCCCUGGGAUCACCUGCGAAGAUCCUGGGAUUCAUCAGGGGUCUGAACCUUGGAUCACACCUGGCUCCGGCUAUUCCGAUGACAUCUCCAUCUCCUGGAGAUAGUUGCUGCAUGAGAACAAAGGCAGGGCCCAGUCGAGGUCUGGAGGCAUAAGCAGCAGGGAUAUGUGCACUGAGCUGAGGCACUGGGCAGGCAGAGCCAUCGCCCUUGCCCCUACCAUGAACCCCUAGAGAGAGGCUGCUAGAACUUUCAUUUCUAAGAGGCAGGAGGGUCUGGCUGCCUCUGCCUCUACUCACUCCCCCAUAGACACACAGGCCUUCUCUCCAUCCAGGGAGCACAUAGCUGCCAAGAGCAGCCCUGCCCCCACACCAGGCUCCCCAGCAGUGAGGAGCUGGGCUGGGCUGUCCUCACCCGCCCUCCUGGCCUCACCCUGGCCCUUUCCUGGCCCUGCCUGGGGAUGCCAGGACCCACAGCAGGUGCCCGGACAGGCUUGGGGCUGGAGAGGGGGCUGGGCACAGAAGGCCAGCCUCUGGCCAAGAACAGAGCUCAUAGAGAAACAAGUUCCAGAAUCCUCUUCGUCCUCC